AUUGAACGCUGGCGGCAGGCCUAACACAUGCAAGUCGAACGAGUGGCGGACGGGUGAGUAAUGUCUGGGAAACUGCGUGAUGGAGGGGGAUAAAUACUGGAAAAGGUAGCUAAUACCGCAUACCAUCGGAUGUGCCCAGAGGGGAUUAGGUAGUAGGUGGGGUAACGGCUAACCUAGGCGACGAUCCCUAGCUGGUCUGAGAGGAUGACCAGCCACACUGGAACUGAGACACGGUCCAGACUCCUACGGGAGGCAGCAGUGGGGAAUAUUGCACAAUGGGCGCAAGCCUGAUUCAGCCAUGCCGCGUGUAUGAAGAAGGCCUUCGGGUUUUAAAGUACUUUCAGCGGGGAGGCGUUACCCACAGAAGAAGCACCGGCUAACUCCGUGCCAGCAGCCGCGGUAAUAC
rnacentral:rRNA from 1 species